GAUGAAGAACGUAGCGAAAUGCGAUAAGUAGUGUGAAUUGCAGAAUUCAGUGAAUCAUCGAAUCUUUGAACGCACAUUGCGCCCCUUGGUAUCCCGAGGGGCAUGCCUGUUCGAGCGUCAUUUCACCACUCAAGCCUGGCUUGGUGUUGGGCGACGUCCCCUUUGGGGACGCACCUCGAAACGCUCGGCGGCGUGGCACCGGCUUUAAGCGUAGCAGAAUCUUUCGCUUUGGAAGUCGGGGCCCCGUCUGCCGGAAGACCUACUCGCAAGGUUGACCUCGGAUCAGGCAGGGAUACCCGCUGAACUUAAGCAUAUCAAUAAGCGGAGGA
rnacentral:misc_RNA from 1 species